GGGGGCGUGCAGGAUUCGACGGGGGUACUUGAGAUGUGAACAGCGGGUCGAGGUUCCAUCAGCUCGUUAAACGGUGGGCAUAAAUAUAAACGCAGACGAUAAUUUAGCUUUAGCUGCUUAGUUUAAAUAAGUAGCCGUCCACUUCAGGCUUCCCGCCACCUGAAUGUUGGGCGUCGACGCGGCGGGGAACGGUUCUGCCAAAGCUUUGAGACAGGAUUGUAUUUAUGAAGCUAGCCGGCCCGGAAUCUUGUUCCUGGGAGUUCGGUGAGGCGAAUACCAAAACAGGAAAUGCACCCGGAGAAGUUUAUGUUGGGGUACCUUCGGACGGGGGUUCGAUUCCCCCCGCCUCCACCA
rnacentral:tmRNA from 1 species